GACGAACGCUGGCGGCGUGCUUAACACAUGCAAGUCGAACGGAAAGGCCCUGCUUUUGUGGGGUGCUCGAGUGGCGAACGGGUGAGUAACACGUUAGUAACCUGCCCUUGACUUUGGGAUAACUUCAGGAAACUGGGGCUAAUACCUGAUAGGAGCUCCUGCUGCAUGGUGGGGGUUGGAAAGUUUCGGCGGUUGGGGAUGGACUCGCGGCUUAUCAGCUUGUUGGUGGGGUAGUGGCUUACCAAGGCUUUGACGGGUAGCCGGCCUGAGAGGGUGACCGGCCACAUUGGGACUGAGAUACGGCCCAGACUCCUACGGGAGGCAGCAGUGGGGAAUAUUGCAAAAUGGGCGGAAGCCUGAUGCAGCAACGCCGCGUGCGGGAUGACGGCCUUCGGGUUGUAAACCGCUUUCGCCUGUGACGAAGCGUGAGUGACGGUAAUGGGUAAAGAAGCACCGGCUAACUACGUG
rnacentral:rRNA from 1 species